AAAAAGCUUCAAACUGGGAUUAGAUACCCCACUAUGCCUGACCGUAAACAAAAAUGGAACCAAACAACCCAUCCGCCCGAGAACUACCAGCACAAGCUAAAAACUCAAAAGACUUGACGGUGCUCUACCUACCUAGAGGAGCCUGUCCUAUAAUCGAUACCCCACGAUCCACCCGACCACUACUAGCACCACAGCCUAUAUACCGCCGUCGAAAGAAUAUCCUGCAAAGGACCAAUAAUUAUCCCAAAAGCCCCACCACUAGAACGUCAGGCCAAGGCAUAGCUAAUGUAGAGGAAGAGAUGGGCUACAUUCUCUGACACAGAGCAAACGAAAAAUAGCAUGAAACCCGCUAUUUAAAGGUGGAUUUAGCAGUAAGAUGAAAAAGCAUACUCACCUUAACCCAGCACCAGAGCACGCACACACCGCCCGUCACCCUCUGCAGUCA
rnacentral:rRNA from 1 species